rnacentral:rRNA from 1 species
ACGAACGCUGGCGGCGUGCUUAACACCUGCAAGUCGAACGAUGACGACCGAGCUUGCUCGGUCUGAUUAGUGGCGAACGGGUGAGUAACACGUGAGCAACCUGCCCUUCACUCUGGGAUAACCUCGGGAAAUCGGGGCUAAUACCGGAUAUGAGCUCCUGUCGCAUGGCGGGUGUUGGAAAGUUUUUCGGUGAAGGAUGGGCUCGCGGCCUAUCAGUUUGUUGGUGAGGUAGUGGCUCACCAAGGCGAUGACGGGUAGCCGGCCUGAGAGGGCGACCGGCCACACUGGGACUGAGACACGGCCCAGACUCCUACGGGAGGCAGCAGUGGGGAAUAUUGCACAAUGGGCGAAAGCCUGAUGCAGCGACGCCGCGUGAGGGAUGACGGCCUUCGGGUUGUAAACCUCUUUCAGCAGGGAAGAAGCGAAAGUGACGGUACCUGCAGAAGAAGCGCCGGCUAACUACGUG